rnacentral:lncRNA from 1 species
CAGGGCUGCUGCGCGGCGGUGGCUGCAGAGGGCGGUGGAUGCACAGCCAAGGCACGGGCUCGCUGCAUGAGCCUCGUUAGACCGGCCUGGGUGGCCAGGAUACAGGAUAACCAGAAAAAGCUCUGGAAAAGACAAUGUUAAUGAGGAAGGCAUGGAGCAGCUGGCAUGAAUAAAAUGGGAUUCUUCAGUCUGUAAAUGAGGUGGCUGAAGGUGCAAAUUGUGCCUCCAUCCUGCUUAUCCUGCUGACACCCCAUGGAACUGGACAUGUCUGGACACAGAACUACUUUUCAAAGCAAGUGGGGCUGCUGGAAGUGCUCCUUUCCCUGAGGAACAGGGGUCAGCACAACCAGCACUUGUCUGCUCAUGUUCCUGGGUGCCCCUGGCCAUGAGAGUCCUGCUCAUGCAUAUCCCACCCGUGAUUUGGAUUCCUCUAUAGAUGCACUUGUACCACAAAGGGCAUAAAGGAACCCUGGCAGAAUGAGUUUCCACAUUUGGACUCUAGUAGCAAAAGAUCCAUCGCAAAAUUCCGUGGAUUUUUGUGGAAGUCUGUAGACAAUCUAUGAACCAAAGAGAUGCCGGUUUUUUUAAGCAUGCUGUUUUGGGUAUUCCUGCUUCUUUUCCCACACUUCUCCCAUUUCUCUAUUUGUGAAAUUAAUCAAAAGUAGGGAUCAGAAUACUAUUUUCCAUCUGCAGCUGUGGCAGAAAUUAGCUCUUAUGUUAGGCCAAGUCCAUAUGCCUUAGCAGAAAAGGAGGGGGAGGCAACGAUUGUCAUCUUCUUUCCUGGAAUCUGACUUAAAAACAAAACUCGCAAUCUCUAUCGAUUAGCAUUGCAAAGAAAAUCUCUGGAAAUGAAGGGUGUAAAGAGGCUGCCUGGCAGAGUUCCUCAAACAAUAACUCCGGGAAGUGUGAACUGCUCUCUCUAUGCUAGGGGAUGUUAACAAAAGCUGUUCUAUUUGAGCCGAGCUAGUACUGAUGGACAGGCACUGUUAGCAAGCACUGCAAGUCUGUGCAAGCCUCUGCUGGCUCCUUCUUAUCUCUUCUGCACUGGCUCUGUCUAUAAGGUGUGUGUGUGGGUGUUGGAGGAGGUGGUUUCCCUGUUCUUUUGAACUCAAUAUUGCAGGCUGCCUACAGGGGCAGCUUUGUGUUGUACUUCGUGCCAUGAGAUGAUCUUUUCUGCCAUAAAAACUGGAAAUCCAGAAAGAAAAAUUUGAGCAUUUGUUCCAGCAUUCCCUCUGUCCAGACUGAAUGAGUAAUCUCUCUUGGUACCCUGCAAACUUCCUUGGUAUCCUUGAACCAGUGUAGCAUCUAUCCCAUGGACCGUUGUUGGAAUUGCAGAGAUGGAAAUGUCAUGUGCAAUUCCACAGUUUAUUGAACCACUUCAAAUUGAGGCUCCCUGAUUAUCUCUUUCCCCUUUGCCUCUGUACAUCCCUGUCCCA